AUGCAAGUCGAACGAAGCAUUCUAUAUGAAGUUUUCGGAUGGAUUAUAGAAUGACUUAGUGGCGGACGGGUGAGUAACGCGUGGGUAACCUGCCUUAUACAGGGGGAUAACAGUUGGAAACGACUGCUAAUACCGCAUAAGCGCACAGCAUCGCAUGAUGCCGUGUGAAAAGUUUUUCGGUAUAAGAUGGACCCGCGUCUGAUUAGCUAGUUGGUGAGGUAACGGCCCACCAAGGCGACGAUCAGUAGCCGGCUUGAGAGAGUGAACGGCCACAUUGGGACUGAGACACGGCCCAAACUCCUACGGGAGGCAGCAGUGGGGAAUAUUGCACAAUGGGGGAAACCCUGAUGCAGCGACGCCGCGUGAGUGAAGAAGUAUUUCGGUAUGUAAAGCUCUAUCAGCAGGGACGAUAAUGACGGCACCUGACUAAGAAGCCCCGGCUAACUACGUGCCAGCAGCCGCGGUAAUACGUAGGAUCCGAGCGUUAUCCUAAUUCACUGGGCGUAAAGCGC
rnacentral:rRNA from 1 species